UUAAAUUGAAGAGUUUGAUCAUGGCUCAGAUUGAACGCUGGCGGCAGGCCUAACACAUGCAAGUCGAACGGUAGCACAGAGAGCUUGCUCUC
rnacentral:rRNA from 9 species